rnacentral:rRNA from 1 species
AUGGCCGCCGGAGAUGCCACCCACGCGCCGCCGGCCGCGGAGGCGCAGUCUCUGGUGGAGUCGUUCUGCGCCGUCACCUCGGCGACCCCCGACGAGGCGGCCUUCUUCCUCGAGGGCCACAACUGGGCCCUCGAGGCCGCCGUUCGCUCCUUCUACGACAACACGGAAGUCGACGCCGAUGGCCCCGAUCCGGCACCCCAGACCCCGCCAGCCGGUUCGCCUCCGUGCUCCUCACCACGCGCCACGACACCAUCGACGACCUCCUCCAUACCGGCGAGCUCGCGCUAUGUUCAGUUGUGCUCAUGUUCAGGCUCAUCAUAA